CUUUAUAAGGCUAAGUUUCCUAGCACAAGUUCUCUUUGCCUGCUGCAAUCCAUGUAAGAUGUGACUUGUUCCUCCUUGCCUUCUGCCAUGAUUGUGAGGCCUCCACAGCCAUGCGGAACUGUUGAAAUACACACUACCUGAAGCUGGAUAACUCAUGAACUCUGUUGACAAUUAUAUUCUUUGUCUUUUUAAUUAACUCAUUUGGAGUUGGUGUCCUGAGGACCUAAGCCUAAGAAUCUUCAAGAUGGAAGAGUAGAGUGAACAAUGAAUGAGCCAGAGGGCUCUUGUCCUCUGUGUGCAGCUCUGGGCAGCCAGCAGGUGGAUAUGGGACUUGGCCUGCUGGAGGGGCCCUGGCAAGAGGAGCUGGCAGGAGCAGAUGGCAAAGGUGGAGUCUCGCACUGUCAUCCUGGCUGGAAUGCAGUGGUGCAAGCCGACUCACUGCAACCUCUGCCUCUUGGGUUCAAGUGAUUCUCCUGCUUCAGCCUCCUGAUUUGCUGGGAUUGCAGAGCAAACCAGUGAAAAAAUGGCCUUCGCACUCCUGAGAGACCUUUCACCGGGCUUUCUACUUUUGAAUUCUCUCCAUAGCUGGUUUCCUCUUAGGCCUCGAUAGAGCAGUCCCUGAAUCACACAGGUAUGCUGACUACGUCUUUUCCUGGUACAAACCAUCAUGGGGGAAACACACAGCAAGAAGCAUCUUCAGGUCACAAGAUAGGCCUUCUAAGACUGAAUUACAUCACCAGCUUUCCUGGGUCUCCAGCUUGCAGAUGGCACACUGUGGGACUUCUUAGCCUGCAGAAUCAUGUAAGCCAAUUCCCUACGUGCGUGUGUGUGUGUG
rnacentral:lncRNA from 1 species